rnacentral:rRNA from 1 species
GAUGAACGCUGGCGGCGUGCUUAACACAUGCAAGUCGAACGAAGCACCUUGAUUUGAUUCUUCGGAUGAAGAUCUUGGUGACUGAGUGGCGGACGGGUGAGUAACGCGUGGGUAACCUGCCUCAUACAGGGGGAUAACAGCUAGAAAUGACUGCUAAUACCGCAUAAGACCACAGCACCGCAUGGUGCAGGGGUAAAAACUCCGUUGGUAUGAGAUGGACCCGCGUCUGAUUAGGUAGUUGGUGGGGUAACGGCCUACCAAGCGGACGAUCAGUAGCCGACAUGAGAGGGUGACCGGCCACAUUGGGAGUGGGACGCGGCCCAAACUCCUACGGGAAGCAGCAGUGGGGAAUAUUGCACAAUGGGGGAAACCCUGAUGCAGCGACGCCGCGUGAGCGAUGAAGUAUUUCGGUAUGUAAAGCUCUAUCAGCAGGGAAGAAAAUGACGGUACCUGACUAAGAAGCACCGGCUAAAUACGUG